rnacentral:rRNA from 1 species
UACGAAGGGGGCUAGCGUUGCUCGGAAUUACUGGGCGUAAAGGGCGCGUAGGCGGACAGUUUAGUCAGAGGUGAAAGCCCAGGGCUCAACCUUGGAAUUGCCUUUGAUACUGGCUGUCUUGAGUACGGGAGAGGUGUGUGGAACUCCGAGUGUAGAGGCGAAAUUCGUAGAUAUUCGGAAGAACACCAGUGGCGAAGGCGACACACUGGCCCGUUACUGACGCUGAGGCGCGAAAGCGUGGGGAGCAAACAGG